GCCUACGGGGGGCAGCAGUGGGGAAUAUUGCACAAUGGGGGAAACCCUGAUGCAGCGACGCCGCGUGAAGGAAGAAGUAUUUCGGUAUGUAAACUUCUAUCAGCAGGGAAGAAAGUGACGGUACCUGACUAAGAAGCCCCGGCUAACUACGUGCCAGCAGCCGCGGUAAUACGUAGGGGGCAAGCGUUAUCCGGAUUUACUGGGUGUAAAGGGAGCGUAGGCGGCCAUGCAAGUCAGAAGUGAAAGCCCGGGGCUCAACUCCGGGACUGCUUUUGAAACUGUAUGGAUAGAUUGCAGGACAGGCA
rnacentral:rRNA from 1 species